rnacentral:rRNA from 1 species
AGUGAACGCUGGCGGUAGGCCUAACACAUGCAAGUCGAACGGCAGCACAGUAAGAGCUUGCUCUUACGGGUGGCGAGUGGCGGACGGGUGAGGAAUACAUCGGAAUCUACUUUUUCGUGGGGGAUAACGUAGGGAAACUUACGCUAAUACCGCAUACGACCUACGGGUGAAAGCAGGGGAUCUUCGGACCUUGCGCGACUGAAUGAGCCGAUGUCGGAUUAGCUAGUUGGCGGGGUAAAUGCCCACCCAGGCGACGAUCCGUAGCUGGUCUGAGAGGAUGAUCAGCCACACUGGAACUGAGACACGGUCCAGACUCCUACGGGAGGCAGCAGUGGGGAAUAUUGGACAAUGGGCGCAAGCCUGAUCCAGCCAUACCGCGUGGGUGAAGAAGGCCUUCGGGUUGUAAAGCCCUUUUGUUGGGAAAGAAAAGCAGCAGGUUAAUACCCCGCUGUUCUGACGGUACCCAAAGAAUAAGCACCGGCUAACUUCGUG